UCCACUGCGCCUGGCCAUAUUAGUAUAUUUUAUUUCAUACAUAUACACAGAGAGAAAAAAAAGAAAAAGAGAAAAGAAAGCACUGAUAUAUGCUCUAACAUGGAUGAAUUAGAAAACAUUAAGUCAAAGAAGCUAGACAUAAAAGGCCACAUGUUGUAUAAAAAAUUCAAUUUACAUGAAUUAUCCAGAAUAAGCAAAUCCAUAGAGACAGAAAGUAGAUUAAUACUGGGAGGAGGGGUGGGAGGGACAGGGGGCUUGGGGAGGAAUGUGGGGUGGGGUGGCUGCUAAAGAGUGCAGGUUCACUACACCGGGGUGAUGAAAAUGCUCUGGAUUUACUGGGGAUGGUUGUAAAACUUCAUGUAUAUACUAAAAAAAGUGAAUUGUACACUUUAAAAGGGCAUUAUGGAAUGUGAAUUUUAUCUCAAAACAAAUUGUAAGUGAAUGUCAAAGACUGGCAAUAAAGUUUUUCUGA
rnacentral:lncRNA from 10 species